rfam:Dipodomys ordii contig_37686, whole genome shotgun sequence.
GGUGGCUCAGUGGUAGAGUGCUUGUCUCCAAUGCAUGAGGCCUUGGGUUCGAUUCCUCAGCACCA